CAGUCGCCGCGGUAAUACGUAGGUGGCAAGCGUUGUCCGGAAUUAUUGGGCGUAAAGCGCGCGCAGGUGGUUUAAUAAGUCUGAUGUGAAAGCCCACGGCUCAACCGUGGAGGGUCAUUGGAAACUGUUAAACUUGAGUGCAGGAGAGAAAAGUGGAAUUCCUAGUGUAGCGGUGAAAUGCGUAGAGAUUAGGAGGAGCACCAGUGGCGAAGGCGGCUUUUUGGCCUGUAACUGACACUGAGGCUCGAAAGCGUGGGGAGCAAACAGGAUUAGAUACCCGCGUAGUCCCUGUCUCUUAUAA
rnacentral:rRNA from 1 species